UGCUGCUUUACACAGGUUACAAACAACUAUUUACUACUUUUUCAUAGAUAAAGCCCCUGACCUUCAAGAAAGCUUAAGGGAAAAAAUUAAUUUAAUCCCUUUCUUUCUUAAAAAAAAAAAAAAAAGAAAAAGUGUUUCAUA